rnacentral:misc_RNA from 1 species
UAGUAUAACUACAUUACAUAGCCAUUAUUAGGGUUCUUCUUCUUGGUUCAAUUUGAAGUAGUAGAUUAUGGCCAAAGACGGACCCAACUGGGAAGGAUUGCUAAAGUGGAGUCUCGCUCACUCUGAUGGGACUGGAUCCAAUCGUAAUCUCAGUGAGGAGGAUAGAAAAUGGUUUAUGGAAGCUAUGCAAGCGCAGAGUGUUGAUGUCAUUAAACGUAUGAAGGAGAUAACCCUUGUCAUGCAAACCCCAGAGCAGGUCUUGGAGGCUCAAAGAGUUACUCCUGCUGAUAUUGAAGAUAUGCUGGAGGAACUUCAAGAGCAUGUCGAGUCUAUUGACAUGGCUAAUGAUCUUCAUUCUAUUGGUGGUCUUGUUCCUCUCCUUGGUUAUCUGAAGAACUCCCAUGCCA